GACGAACGCUGGCGGCGCGCUUAACACAUGCAAGUCGAGCGAAGCGGCGGACGGGUGAGUAACACGUGAGUAACCUGCCUUAGACAUUGGGAUAGCCUCGGGAAACCGGGAUUAAUACCAAAUGGUCUAAGAUGGGCUCGAGUCCCAUUAGCUAGUUGGUGGGUAACGGCCCACCAAGGCGACGAUGGGUAGCCGGCGAGGGAGGGUGAACGGCCACUUUUGAACUGGGAAACGGUGCGAAAUCUACGGGAUGGAGCAGUGGGGAAUAUUGCACAAUGGAGGGAACUCUGAUGCAGCGACGCCGGGUGAACGAAGAAGGCGUUCGAGUCGUAAAGUUCUUUUAUAUGGGAAGCGGUACCAUAAGAAAAAGCCCCGGCUAACUACGUGCCAGCAGCCGCGGUAAUUC
rnacentral:rRNA from 1 species